rnacentral:misc_RNA from 1 species
CUGAGAUGGGGUUCUUCUGAGCCCGGCCUCCAACCCUUUGCUUAAACCAACUUGUUGCUUUGGCAGGCCCGUCCUUGCGGACCGCUGGGGUUGUUUAAUCACCUCUGGCCAGUGCCUGCCAGUAGCCAAUUUAAAUUCUUUUUUAACCAUGUUGUCUGAAAAAAACAAUUAAGAAAUUCAAUUA